GGGGGUAGUUCUGGAGCUUCAUAGAAGCUUGAACCUCUUUCAACCCUCAAAAGCCAGGAUCUUAGCCUGACAUGAGAAUUCAGUCAUCAUCUCUGCUGCCUAAUGUUCUAGGCCUCAGUGUUGGACCACAGAGAGAAAUCCCCUAGGUAUCUCUCAGAUCCAAUUUAAACUGAGAAAAAUCAAAGUAAGCAGCCCUGCAUAGACCAAGAGUCCACACCACACACAUCGCGGUAUUGUCACCUGAACAGACACACCUGCGUAACUCCUUCACCAGUUCCCAUUGCAGAAGAGUGCUAACUGCUUUUCUGUUGCCAGGAUAAAACACCACAGCCAAAGCAUCUUCCAGACAAUUCAGUUUAUUGGGAAUUAUGGUCCCAGAGGAUACAUGUCCACGUUGAUGGGAGCAGCUGCAGCAGCAAGCUGAUGGCACACAUCUUGAAACACAGGCACAAAGCAGAGAGAGCAAACUUGAAAUUCUCCAAGUCUGCCCCCAGUGGCAUGUUUCUCCAGAUAAGACAACUCCUAAACCUUCCCCCAGACAGUGCCACUAACUGGGAACUAAGUCUUCAAACAUUCAAAGCUAUGAGGGCAGGGCACUUCUCAUUCAUGGCACGAAAGAGGUGAGGCCCUGAUCCCAGACAAGAGCCUUUCUCCCCCAGCCCAGUCUCCUGCCUGCCCCAAUCUUGGGGGAAAAUGGUAAUGAUCCACCACCUGGAGCUCAUCUGCUGCAGAAAGGGUCUGGACACAGCUACAGGGAUGACACAGGAACCUCAAGCCAGCAUCACACGGUGUGGUCCUACUGGAAGUGUGAACUACUUCAGGCUCGACAUCUGACAGAGCCAAGUGCGUACCUGGAGCUGUUUCCUUGGUUAGCCAGUAGCACCAUUCAGGGUAACGCAAGGAUAUCUCCUUGUGCAGGGUCCUCUGAACCAUUCUGGGAGGACUUUGGUGUGUGUAUGGAGCAUGGUGGGUGUGUUCACAGGAGUCUUCUGAGGAGAGCUGGGAGCCUCCAGGCUUGAGCCUGUUUCUUGCCUGUGGGCAUCAGCCUAAAUCUUAUGUAUUGAUAUGAGUUUUUAAAAGAAAAAUCCUAUUCUCCAGGCUAACAUUUUUCUUGAGCACAAUGCCUAGAUAAAUCUUAAUUGACAGCCCAUCAAUCUAACUUAGGGAGGCCACCUUAGCUGAAAGGAAUCGCUCCACAGCUGUUUAACCUGUGCUUGCAGGUCAGUUUUUUAACAGGACCCGAAGAGCUGGGUCUGUGUCUGCAUAAUGCAUUUUGCCCUAGGGCACCAGUGGAGAAAUUCUGUGUCAAUCUCAUUAGUGAUGUGGAGCAUCCCAAGCUGAGUCUCAAAGUGUGCUUCUUGGCUGGGUGGCAGGAGGUGUCCCACCCUCAACCAGCACCCACAGAUGAACUGGAGAGGAACUGGGAAGGCAUAGGGUUCCCCCAGCUCCCCUGGCCCUGCCCCUAUGUCCUUGUUCCAAUUGCCAGAACCUGACUGUUUCAUAAGUGGUAUGCCAAAUUUAGUUCUCGAUGUAGGUUGCUGCAGGGUGUCACUGCCGCAGCUCAGCCAGUCCUGUGAUUAACUUCCAGAACAGAUUCUGAGUGGUACCCCAUCCUAUACCUCCAGCAGGAGGGGCAUCAGGAGUAGGCUUGCAUAACCGACCUAAUUUUCCUAGCCACUUUAGCCUGUCAGCCUCAGACUGGAUAUCUCUUGCACGCACCUUGCUGGAACCCCAGGAAGACUCCGACACAAAGCCUGACUUCUCUGUCUCAGCUGCAAAGCAGCCUAAGUUCUUAACCCAGCAGACACCAUUGCACCAGCUAUCUCCAGCUGCAUGUCACUGGCAUCAUCUUCUGUCCCCCAGCAUAGUGGAAUUCUAUUGGCCUCACGUCUCUGACAUAGGUCAGCUGUGAGGUUCUGGGCAGCUUGAUUUCCUAAUGGCAGGCUGCAUCUUAUUCAGAGUUCAUUUUGCUGAAGAUGAACCAGAGGCUACUCCAAACCACUGGACACUAAAGCAAGAAAUUCAUUAAGUUCAGAGAAGUGUCACCAAACAGAACCUGGAAAUCUACCCCAUCCCUUCCUCUUCAAUCUCUUGCUUGUGUAAACCACACACUCCGACUUUGCAUUUAACCCCAUUCUGUAACCCCACUCUGCACUGUCUCCAGCUCAGCCUUUCAGCACACUUAUCCAUGUCUCUUGGUGACAGAGUCAUAGAGGAGGCUCUCUCUAUCCCAAUUUCAAUAUUUCCAGGCUAGAGAACCUGUCUGGGUCAGUUUAGGACAAGUAUAUGUUUUGGCCUCAGAACUUGUAACUCUGCGGGGAUGUGCUGGGGGUGGGAGUAAUGAAGAGCUACUGAAUUCC
rnacentral:lncRNA from 1 species